CAGAAAGCCUGGUAAAAGGCGUCAGACUUGAUGUUUGUGACCACAGAGUUCUUGAUUUUGCUCCGGAUGAACAUAAAGUUGAUUAACUAACUUGGAAAGGAGUGUGACAUUAAAACUCUAAACCUUUAUGCAAUAAGCGAUGUUGCGAUUUUUAAACUUCUGAGUCCGCUAUAUCUUCACUCAUCCAGUCGCCAUUUAUGUCAGUUCUAGGUACUGUGUAGUUUACCUGUCUGACCAGUUUUUGUUAAUCAGUUCACGCGACAGUCUGAAUAAGAGAGACAUUGAGCGAUCGGGACUCGGAUACAAGCCCAUUCAGUCAUAUACAAUAGUUCUCCACCCACCUAAUAAAGAGAUGGCCGAGCUAGUGGAAAUCCCCCGGUUCUUGAAUGUGUAAUAGUUUGGAUAACAAUACACAUUUCGCAAAGGGAACAUAUUGUAUGCCUCUUACCAAGAGGCAUUGGGCAGUGACGUAGCAUAAUACUAUACUCCGAUGGCAAAAUGAGUUCCAACACCAACGAUGUUUUCGAAGGUAUUUUGAUGAAGAUAGCUAAGCAAAUAUACGGGAAGGAAGUCGUCAAUGAGUUAGGAAAGAAACUAGGAUUCAAUCCUGCAGAUAUCGCUCGCUUCAAUGAAGCAAACGCCCAACAAGGGUGCUCAUACAUGGGCACUCUGGAUAUGCUUCGAACUUGGCAUCAAGGGCAAACAAGGGCUGAGCGAAGGGAAAAUUUGAAAGCUGCAUUGGAAGGAGCCGGCUAUCGCCUC